AUUAACGCUAGCGGCAGGCCUAAUACAUGCAAGUCGAACGGUAACAGGUGUAGCAAUACACGCUGACGAGUGGCGCACGGGUGCGUAACACGUAUGCAAUCUACCUUUAACUGGGGAAUAACCCCUCGAAAGAGGGGCUAAUACCGCAUAAUACUUUGCUGGGACAUCCCAAUGAAGUCAAACCUUCGGGGGUUAAAGAUGAGCAUGCGUCCGAUUAGCUAGUUGGCGGGGUAACGGCCCACCAAGGCGACGAUCGGUAGGGGAUCUGAGAGGAUGAUCCCCCACACUGGUACUGAGACACGGACCAGACUCCUACGGGAGGCAGCAGUAAGGAAUAUUGGACAAUGGGCGAAAGCCUGAUCCAGCCAUGCCGCGUGCAGGAUGAAAGUGCUCUGCACUGUAAACUGCUUUUACUUGGGAAAAAACUCUUGCCUUUGGCGAGACUGAUUGUACCGAGAGAAUAAGGGACGGCUAACUUCGUGCCAGCAGCCGCGGUAAUACGAAGGUCCCAAGCGUUAUCCGGAUUUAUUGGGUUUAAAGGGUGCGUAGGCGGACUAUUAAGUCAGUGGUGAAAGCCCCAAGCUUAACUUGGGAACUGCCAUUGAUACUGAUGGUCUUGAGUACAUUUGAGGUGGGCGGAAUGUGUCAUGUAGCGGUGAAAUGCUUAGAUAUGACACAGAACACCGAUUGCGAAGGCAGCUCACUAAACUGUAACUGACGCUGAGGCACGAAAGCGUGGGGAGCAAACAGGAUUAGAUACCCUGGUAGUCCACGCCCUAAACGAUGAUCACUCGAUGUGUGCGAUAUACUGUACGCGUCUGAGCGAAAGCAUUAAGUGAUCCACCUGGGGAGUACGACCGCAAGGUUGAAACUCAAAGGAAUCGACGGGGGCCCGCACAAGCGGAGGAGCAUGUGGUUUAAUUCGAUGAUACGCGAGGAACCUUACCAGGGCUUGAAAGUUAAGGAAUGAUGUAGAAAUAUGUCAGUCAGCAAUGACCUGAAACUAGGUGCUGCAUGGCUGUCGUCAGCUCGUGCCGUGAGGUGUUGGGUUAAGUCCCGCAACGAGCGCAACCCCUAUCAUUAGUUGCCAACAGGUAAAGCUGGGGACUCUAAUGAGACUGCCCGCGCAAGCGGUGAGGAAGGUGGGGAUGACGUCAAGUCAUCACGGCCCUUACGUCCUGGGCUACACACGUGCUACAAUGGCCGGUACAGAAGGAAGCCACUUGGCAACAAGGCGCAAAUCCCGAAAGCCGGUCUCAGUUCGGAUUGGAGUCUGCAACUCGACUCCAUGAAGCUGGAUUCGCUAGUAAUCGCAUAUCAGCCAUGAUGCGGUGAAUACGUUCCCGGGCCUUGUACACACCGCCCGUCAAGCGAUGGAAGUCGGGAGUACCUGAAGUCGAUCACCGCAAGGAGUCGCCUAGGGUAAAACCGAUAACUGGCGCU
rnacentral:rRNA from 1 species